rnacentral:rRNA from 1 species
CGGCGUGCCUAAUACAUGCAAGUCGAGCGAACAGAUAAGGAGCUUGCUCCUUUGACGUUAGCGGCGGACGGGUGAGUAACACGUGGGUAACCUACCUAUAAGACUGGGAUAACUUCGGGAAACCGGAGCUAAUACCGGAUAACAUUUGGAACCGCAUGGUUCUAAAGUGAAAGAUGGUUUUGCUAUCACUUAUAGAUGGACCCGCGCCGUAUUAGCUAGUUGGUAAGGUAACGGCUUACCAAGGCGACGAUACGUAGCCGACCUGAGAGGGUGAUCGGCCACACUGGAACUGAGACACGGUCCAGACUCCUACGGGAGGCAGCAGUAGGGAAUCUUCCGCAAUGGGCGAAAGCCUGACGGAGCAACGCCGCGUGAGUGAUGAAGGGUUUCGGCUCGUAAAACUCUGUUAUUAGGGAAGAACAAACGUGUAAGUAACUGUGCAUGUCUUGACGGUACCUAAUCAGAAAGCCACGGCUAACUACGUGCCAGCAGCCGCGGUAAUACGUAGGUGGCAAGCGUUAUCCGGAAUUAUUGGGCGUAAAGCGCGCGUAGGCGGUUUCUUAAGUCUGAUGUGAAAGCCCACGGCUCAACCGUGGAGGGUCAUUGGAAACUGGGAAACUUGAGUGCAGAAGAGGAAAGUGGAAUUCCAUGUGUAGCGGUGAAAUGCGCAGAGAUAUGGAGGAACACCAGUGGCGAAGGCGACUUUCUGGUCUGUAACUGACGCUGAUGUGCGAAAGCGUGGGGAUCAAACAGGAUUAGAUACCCUGGUAGUCCACGCCGUAAACGAUGAGUGCUAAGUGUUAGGGGGUUUCCGCCCCUUAGUGCUGCAGCUAACGCAUUAAGCACUCCGC